GAAAAAUUUAAGCAAACCUGUUUGCUUCUUAUAUGUUUUAUUAUCAACACAUAAACACACUUUUUAAAAAUUAAUUGUUAUUGAUUUUAUUUUUGAAUCUUGUUGAUGUGUUCAAAAAAUAACUAAUAAUGAUUUAGAAAGUCUUUAUUCGCAGAAGUGACAGAAUUUCAUCAAUAGUUUAUUGAUCUUCUCUGAUAAUAUUUCUAUUUUGUGAACAUGGCAUACAUAACAUUUCAGAAUGCAAUUAACUCAGAUGAAAUGACACAUAUUUCCAUAUGUUGGACAGAGCAAACUUUCACAAGGAUGUUUAUUAUGGUAACAUGAUUUUAUUGAGAAACAGAAAAGGUGUUGAAAAGUAUGCUUUUUUUGUAGCAUAAAAUGUCCCAGGGGAGCAGUUGCAGGUAAGUGCAAUUAGAUUUUAGAGGGGUGUGAAGAGAACAGCUCUAACUCAAAAUGACUUUUCAGAUUAGUUAUUGAUAGAUGACUAUGGAAAGCCUAAGAACUGAUGACAAAUUGCCAAUCAUCCUAGAAUAUAAUUUAACUGAGUUAUUAAACACAUAUAUACAAGAUUUCCAAAGGCAAUCAGCUGCCUUUUCUCUUAUCGUAAAAAACAGUAUUGAAAGUGAAAUCAAAUUAAAUAAUAUUUGCCCAAAAUAGAGAGGAGAUUUGGGUUUCUUCAUUAAUUUCUGUGCACCAGCCUCCUGUUCCUUUACUAACUCCAUAAGCAUUAAUGUUAAAAAGAAACAAAAAAACAUGUAUUCAACAGUCUUGAAACUAAAAUUUUAAAUGAGAAGGUCAAUGUUAAUAUUAGGCAAAACAAAAUUAAUUGGAUACAUUUUGAUUGAACAUGUAAUGAUUAGUGUGCUUCAGAGUAAUCGGGCAUAAAUAAUAAGUACUUUUGUAAAUGUUUGCUUACUAUUAUUAUUUUUCUUACUUUAGUGGUAUGUUUUGCUGUGAUCUGACAUUUUUGCUCAUAUAUACUCCACACAG
rnacentral:lncRNA from 1 species